CACGUCCCCGGGCCUUCUUUAAUAAAAGUCCAGAGGAUUCCCCCCUCCCCCGCCCGGCUCAGAAUGGCCCACACAGCUUAAAUUGCUGUUUGUUAGGGCUUUCUCUCCUCCCCGCCCCCGCUCCCCGCUUCAGCUUAAACAUUUUCUUCUGGGGGAAAAAAAAAAAGUAUUGAAGGCGUUGGUAUUAUUGGAUUCUCGAGAGCAAUGGGGUGUCACACACGCGCGCACGCACGGGCGUGUUUGUUCAGCGCGUCCACACAAACAACCCCCAGAAGGGGGUGGGAAAGCAAAUCCAGGAUUUUCUUUGCUUCCUUCAUCCCCCCCCCCUUUUUUUUUCUUUAAAUUAAACCCCUGGGAGAUUCUUUUCAUCUACUCUUCAGCCUGCCAGUCACUCAUCAAGGAAAGUAAGCCCAGCUGUAUUUGCCGUUCCUCCCCCUUCACUCCUCCGAGUAAGGCUCCGAACGGCACCUCUUGACGGAGAAGGCCACAUUUCUGCAGCAAAAUAUUGACACAUCUCCCGUUUUAGAAACUGCAAUUAUAUUAACGGCUGGGAGUUUUCUGAAGGAGGAGGUGACUUUCUCCGGUUUCCAAGCUAAUGACAGCAUUCUGCCCAUGUUUACCUUUCUUUUGAAAGGGGGCGGGGUGCAUAAAGGGCAGAGAAAGAGAGACGAAUAUAUUGAAAAUGGACACAGUGAAAGGAAAUAAAUAAAAUAAAAAUAA